AAAUUGAAGAGUUUGAUCAUGGCUCAGAUUGAACGCUGGCGGCAGGCCUAACACAUGCAAGUCGAGCGGUAGCACAGAGAGCUUGCUCUCGGGUGACGAGCGGCGGACGGGUGAGUAAUGUCUGGGAAACUGCCUGAUGGAGGGGGAUAACUACUGGAAACGGUAGCUAAUACCGCAUAAUGUCGCAAGACCAAAGUGGGGGACCUUCGGGCCUCAUGCCAUCAGAUGUGCCCAGAUGGGAUUAGCUAGUAGGUGGGGUAACGGCUCACCUAGGCGACGAUCCCUAGCUGGUCUGAGAGGAUGACCAGCCACACUGGAACUGAGACACGGUCCAGACUCCUACGGGAGGCAGCAGUGGGGAAUAUUGCACAAUGGGCGCAAGCCUGAUGCAGCCAUGCCGCGUGUGUGAAGAAGGCCUUCGGGUUGUAAAGCACUUUCAGCGGGGAGGAAGGCGAUAAGGUUAAUAACCUCAUCGAUUGACGUUACCCGCAGAAGAAGCACCGGCUAACUCCGUGCCAGCAGCCGCGGUAAUACGGAGGGUGCAAGCGUUAAUCGGAAUUACUGGGCGUAAAGCGCACGCAGGCGGUCUGUCAAGUCGGAUGUGAAAUCCCCGGGCUCAACCUGGGAACUGCAUUCGAAACUGGCAGGCUAGAGUCUUGUAGAGGGGGGUAGAAUUCCAGGUGUAGCGGUGAAAUGCGUAGAGAUCUGGAGGAAUACCGGUGGCGAAGGCGGCCCCCUGGACAAAGACUGACGCUCAGGUGCGAAAGCGUGGGGAGCAAACAGGAUUAGAUACCCUGGUAGUCCACGCCGUAAACGAUGUCGAUUUGGAGGUUGUGCCCUUGAGGCGUGGCUUCCGGAGCUAACGCGUUAAAUCGACCGCCUGGGGAGUACGGCCGCAAGGUUAAAACUCAAAUGAAUUGACGGGGGCCCGCACAAGCGGUGGAGCAUGUGGUUUAAUUCGAUGCAACGCGAAGAACCUUACCUGGUCUUGACAUCCACAGAACUU
rnacentral:rRNA from 1 species